GCAAUAGCUGAUUGCAUUUAUUUAAUUUAAUGUAGUUACUACUUGGUAGUUUAAAUUUCUAGGUAGAAUUAUGAUGAUGACAUUAUCUAUCUAUUAGUCUUGACCAAAUUACGUGCCAGCAGUCGCGGUAAUACGUAGAAGACAAGUGUUAUUCAUCUUUAUUAGGUUUAAAGAGUACCAAGACGGUUAAUAAAGCCCAAAAUAAAUGAAUACGGGGGACACAUUAACUAGAGUUAUAUGAAAUGAAGCUAGAAGGUACUGUUGUGUGUAGAGAUGAAAUUCAAUAAUACCAGAUGAUUGGCACAGAUUAAUGCGAAGGCAUCUUCUUAUGUAAUAACUGACGUUGUAGGACGAAGGCUUAGGGAGUGAACAGGAUUAGGUACCCCAGUAAUCUAGGCAGAAAAUGAUGAAUGUCAUAGGUUUAAUUAUUGUGUCUAUAAAUGAAAGUGUAAGCAUUCCACCUCAAGAGUAAUUUGGCAACAUUGGAACUGAAAUCAUUAGACCGUUUCUGAAACCAGUAGUGAAGUAUGUUGUUUAAUUAGAUGAUACACAAAAACCUUACCACAAUUUGAAUAUAUAUAAAUUAUAUUUACAAGCGCUGCACGGCUGUCUACAGUUAAUGUCGUGAGAUUUUGGUUAGCUCCAUUAAAUUGACGUAAACCCUAAUUUUAUUUAUAAAUAUAAU
rnacentral:rRNA from 1 species